CGGUGGAGCAUGUGGUUUAAUUCGAAGCAACGCGAAGAACCUUACCAGGUCUUGACAUCCUCUGAAAACCCUAGAGAUAGGGCUUCUCCUUCGGGAGCAGAGUGACAGGUGGUGCAUGGUUGUCGUCAGCUCGUGUCGUGAGAUGUUGGGUUAAGUCCCGCAACGAGCGCAACCCUUGAUCUUAGUUGCCAUCAUUAAGUUGGGCACUCUAAGGUGACUGCCGGUGACAAACCGGAGGAAGGUGGGGAUGACGUCAAAUCAUCAUGCCCCUUAUGACCUGGGCUACACACGUGCUACAAUGGACGGUACAAAGAGCUGCAAGACCGCGAGGUGGAGCUAAUCUCAUAAAACCGUUCUCAGUUCGGAUUGUAGGCUGCAACUCGCCUACAUGAAGCUGGAAUCGCUAGUAAUCGCGGAUCAGCAUGCCGCGGUGAAUACGUUCCCGGGCCUUGUACACACCGCCCGUCACACCACGAGAGUUUGUAACACCCGAAGUCGGUGGGGUAACCUUUUUGGAGCCAGCCGCCUAAGGUGGGACAGAUGAUUGGGGUGAAGUCGUAACAAGGUAGCCGUAUCGGAAGGUGCGGCUG
rnacentral:rRNA from 1 species